rnacentral:lncRNA from 1 species
CUCACGCCAGUGUGGUCGACAUAGCCCAAUUAGCCCAGACCGUGUGUCUCGCACAAUUUAGUACACGACCAUGUGUCACAUAGGGCCUGCCACAUGGCUUGGUACACAGUCAUGUGGCAACGACAAUCCUCUUUUUUGGAUUUUAUCGUUCGCUAUUUUCUCGGGUUUUCAUUACACACCUUGACUGAUUUUGAUGUAACUUU